UUUAUGGAUUUACUUUUCAAAGUCUUCAAAAAAGUCUCCGCAAUUCAAGGAUGGAUUACAAAACUUCUGAAAUGGAAAUGACCGGACCGCAGGGCUCACCUGUUAGCUUCUGGGCGAAAAAAGGUGACUCUGUCUUAUCCGAGAGACGUCAGCCUUCCUAAUCACCACAUCGUCCUGAGGAAGAUGGAGGGCGCCAGGGGAUGAUGGCAUGCCCGCUGUGACAGCAUGAGACAACAUGAGUACCCUUCCUGAUCUAGUGAUGGCAAUCUGGCUCCAUUCA